rnacentral:rRNA from 1 species
UACGAAGGGGGCUAGCGUUGCUCGGAAUCACUGGGCGUAAAGCGCACGUAGGCGGAUUGUUAAGUCAGGGGUGAAAUCCCGAGGCUCAACCUCGGAACUGCCUUUGAUACUGGGGAUCUCGAGUCCGGGAGAGGUGAGUGGAACUGCGAGUGUAGAGGUGAAAUUCGUAGAUAUUCGCAAGAACACCAGUGGCGAAGGCGGCUCACUGGCCCGGAACUGACGCUGAGGUGCGAAAGCGUGGGGAGCAAACAGG